AGAAAAUUUGAUUCUAGUUUUUAAGUUUAAUUUAUAUUUUUAUUAUAUGUGAAUUUUUGUAGGAUAAUUUAUUUAGAUAGUAGAUUAAAUGUAUUAGCAAUAAUUAAAUUUAUACAAUAAAAGUAAUUUUGAUAUAGGAAUAUAUAAGAGUAUUAGUAAAAUUUGUGCCAGCAACUGCGGUUAAACAAAUGAUACAAUUAAAUUUUAUUUAACAAUAAUAAAUAAGUAAAAUUUAAUUUAAAAUUAGAUUUAUUAGGUGAAAUUAUAAAUUUUGAAUAAAAUUAAUAAAUUGUUUAUAAAAUUAUGAAAUUCUAUUAUUAGACUAGGAUUAGAUACCCUAUUAUAAGGAAAUUAAAUAAAAUGUUAGGGGAGUAUUAGUUUAUGUUCUUGAAAUUUAAAGGAUUUGGCGGUAUUUUAAUCUUUUCAGAGGAACCUGUUCUAUAAUUGAUAAUCCACGAUUAAUUAUACUUGAUUUUUAUUAGUUUAUAUAUCGUCGUAGGUUGAAUAUCUUAAAAGAGUGAAAAUAUUCAUGAUUUAAAAUAAAAUUUUAUUAAAGGAAAUCAGAUCAAGGUGUAGCUUAUAGUUAAGGAGAAAUGGGUUACAAUAAAUUUAUUUAAAUGGAUAUAAUAAUUAAAAUUAUUAUUAAAAGUGGAUUUGAAAGUAAUAUAUUUUAUUUAAAAUAUAUGAUUUUAGCUCUAAAAUAUGUACAUAUCGCCCGUCGCUUUCAUUGAAAUUUAAAGUGAAAUAAGUCGUAACAUAGUAGGUGUACUGGAAAGUGUGCCUAGAUUGUC
rnacentral:ncRNA from 1 species